rnacentral:rRNA from 1 species
GACGAACGCUGGCGGCGUGCUUAACACAUGCAAGUCGAACGAUGAUGCCCAGCUUGCUGGGUGGAUUAGUGGCGAACGGGUGAGUAACACGUGAGUAACCUGCCCCUGACUCUGGGAUAAGCGUUGGAAACGACGUCUAAUACUGGAUAUGAUCGCCGGCCACAUGGUCUGGUGGUGGAAAGAUUUUUUGGUUGGGGAUGGACUCGCGGCCUAUCAGCUUGUUGGUGAGGUAAUGGCUCACCAAGGCGACGACGGGUAGCCGGCCUGAGAGGGUGACCGGCCACACUGGGACUGAGACACGGCCCAGACUCCUACGGGAGGCAGCAGUGGGGAAUAUUGCACAAUGGGCGAAAGCCUGAUGCAGCAACGCCGCGUGAGGGAUGACGGCCUUCGGGUUGUAAACCUCUUUUAGUAGGGAAGAAGCGAAAGUGACGGUACCUGCAGAAAAAGCACCGGCUAACUACGUGCCAGCAGCCGCCGUAAUAC